rnacentral:sRNA from 1 species
GGGGGCGGGCGCACUGGUCCCGGAGUCGCCGCUGGGCCUGUCCGCCGGCGUCAUGGCACCCAAAAAGAAAGGGAAGAAAGGCAAAGCCAAAGGCACCCCGAUUGUCGAUGGGCUCGCUCCAGAGGACAUGAGCAAGGAGCAGGUGAGCAGAGCGGGCUGUGGCCCAGUACCUGGGUGGGCGUGGGCGGGCACCACGCAGGGUGCCUGCGCCGUGUGUCCAUCUUGCCAUGUGGAUCCACCCUUCUGUCCAAGCCAGAACACGCCCCCCACGUGGCCCAUAAUUCCCAUCAGCGGCAAAGCUUUCGGCUGCACCAUGUCUUUUCAGAAAGGUAGUGCAGCCUGUGAAAGCUUUGUAACAGGGUGGUAGGAAUGUGGAAGGACAUGUUUUUCUGAUCUAAAAGCUGUUUUUAAUUU